UACGGGGGGGGCAAGCGUUGUUCGGAAUUACUGGGCGUAAAGCGCGUGUAGGCGGCUAUGCAAGUCGGGCGUGAAAUCCCACGGCUCAACCGUGGAAGUGCACUCGAAACUGCGUAGCUAGAGUCUCGGAGAGGAAGGUGGAAUACUUGGUGUAGAGGUGAAAUUCGUAGAUAUCAAGUGGAACACCGGUGGCGAAGGCGGCCUUCUGGACGAUGACUGACGCUGAGACGCGAAAGCGUGGGGAGCAAACAGG
rnacentral:rRNA from 1 species